GGGCGCUUAGUUCAAUGGUAGAACGCUGUCCUCACACGACAGAGGCCGUUGGUCCGAUUCCAACAGUGCCCA
rfam:Candidatus Yanofskybacteria bacterium RIFCSPHIGHO2_01_FTLL_44_17 rifcsphigho2_01_scaffold_8734, whole genome shotgun sequence.